GUGGGUGUGGUGUAUGCUACACAGCUGCCCUUCCUGGUCGGCGGAGAUUAUGAAAGUUGUAGACAGCAGAACCGGGUUCGAUUCCCGGCACCCACA